AAUGAACGCUAGCGGUAGGCCUAACACAUGCAAGUUGAACGCAUACUUUUACAGUAUAAGUAGCAAACGGGUGAGUAACGCGUGAGAAAUCUACAUUACAAUCUGGGAUAAAAUCCCGGAUUCUUUCUAAACUAGAUGUUCUGACAAAUAGUAUAGAAUAGGAGAUUAAAUGUCGUUGGAAGAUGUGCUCGCGUAGGAUUGGGUAGUUGGGGAGGUAAAAGCUACACCAAGCCGAAGAUCCUUAGCUGGUCUGAGAGGAAGAUCAGCCACACUGGGACUGAGACACGGCCCAAACGCUUUCGAGCGGCAGCAGGGAGGAAAUUUGGAAAAUGGGCGAAAGCCUGAUCCAGCCAUAGCGCAUGAGGGAAGAAGGCUCUAUGGGUUGUAAAGCUCUGAUUUGAGUGAAGAUUAUGACAUAAGAGCGAAGAAUAGUCCCGGCUAACUUCGUG
rnacentral:rRNA from 1 species